UUUUUUUGCUUGGCUGGGCUUGGCUGACUGGCUUGAGCUGCUGAUUUGACUCGGCUGGUGGCUUGAGUCGGCUCGGCUUAGAUUGGAGCUAAAUUGCGAUUCAGUGGGUUAAUGGUGGCUUGGUCGGUGGGGAGUUGGAGAAGAAGGUUACUGGCGGUGGUGGAGGAGGGAGAAGAGAAGGUUAUUGGUGGUGGAGGUGAAGAGAGGGUUGUUGCUGGUGAUGGUGGAGAUGAAAGGGGGAGGAGAGAGAUGGUGGUUGUGUUGAUGAAAUAGAAGAAGAAGAAGGAGAUGUGGCGGUGGUGUGAUCUGGUGGUGGCUGGUCGUGGAGGAGGGGCUGACUUCAUCGGUGGUGGUGGCGGUUGGUCAUGGAGGAGAUGACCUCAAUUUUUUUUUUUUUAAGUAUCAUCAUGUAUUCAGUUUAUGCAGGUUGUUGGUAGGGUUGGG
rnacentral:lncRNA from 1 species